GACGAACGCUGGCGGCGUGCUUAACACAUGCAGGUCGAACGGAAAGGCCCUGCUUUUGUGGGAUGCUCGAGUGGCGAACGGGUGAGUAACACGUGAGUAACCUGCCCUUGACUUUGGGAUAACUUCAGGAAACUGGGGCUAAUACCGGAUAGGAGCUCCUGCUGCAUGGUGGGGGUUGGAAAGUUUCGGCGGUUGGGGAUGGACUCGCGGCUUAUCAGCUUGUUGGUGGGGUAGUGGCUUACCAAGGCUUUGACGGGUAGCCGGCCUGAGAGGGUGACCGGCCACAUUGGGACUGAGAUACGGCCCAGACUCCUACGGGAGGCAGCAGUGGGGAAUAUUGCACAAUGGGCGGAAGCCUGAUGCAGCAACGCCGCGUGCGGGAUGACGGCCUUCGGGUUGUAAACCGCUUUCGCCUGUGACGAAGCGUGAGUGACGGUAAUGGGUAAAGAAGCACCGGCUAACUACGUG
rnacentral:rRNA from 1 species